rnacentral:rRNA from 1 species
AGGAGAAAGCUUGCUUUCUUGCUGACGAGUGGCGGACGGGUGAGUAAUGCUUGGGAAUCUGGCUUAUGGAGGGGGAUAACUACGGGAAACUGUAGCUAAUACCGCGUAGUGUCGAGAGACGAAAGUGCGGGACCGCAAGGCCGCAUGCCAUGAGAUGAGCCCAAGUGGGAUUAGGUGGUUGGUGGGGUAAAGGCCUACCAAGCCUGCGAUCUCUAGCUGGUCUGAGAGGAUGGCCAGCCACACUGGAACUGAGACACGGUCCAGACUCCUACGGGAGGCAGCGGUGGGGAAUAUUGCGCAAUGGGGGGAACCCUGACGCAGCCAUGCCGCGUGAAUGAAGAAGGCCUUCGGGUUGUAAAGUUCUUUCGGUAUUGAGGAAGGAGUGUAUGUUAAUAGCAUACAUUAUUGACGUUAAAUACAGAAGAAGCACCGGCUAACUCCGUGCCAGCAGCCGCGGUAAUACGGAGGGUGCGAGCGUUAAUCGGAAUAACUGGGCGUAAAGGGCACGCAGGCGGUUAUUUAAGUGAGGUGUGAAAGCCCCGGGCUUAACCUGGGAAUUGCAUUUCAGACUGGGUAACUAGAGUACUUUAGGGAGGGGUAGAAUUCCACGUGUAGCGGUGAAAUGCGUAGAGAUGUGGAGGAAUACCGAAGGCGAAGGCAGCCCCUUGGGAAUGUACUGACGCUCAUGUGCGAAAGCGUGGGGAGCAAACAGGAUUAGAUACCCUGGUAGUCCACGCUGUAAACGCUGUCGAUUUGGGGAUUGGGCUUAAAGCUUGG